rnacentral:snRNA from 1 species
AUUGGCAUCAGACGCCUA